rnacentral:rRNA from 1 species
GAUGAACGCUGGCGGCGUGCCUAAUACAUGCGAGUCGAGCGAACAGACGAGGAGCUUGCUCCUCUGACGUUAGCGGCGGACGGGUGAGUAACACGUGGAUAACCUACCUAUAAGACUGGGAUAACUUCGGGAAACCGGAGCUAAUACCGGAUAAUAUUUUGAACCGCAUGGUUCAAUAGUGAAAGACGGUUUUGCUGUCACUUAUAGAUGGAUCCGCGCUGCAUUAGCUAGUUGGUAAGGUAACGGCUUACCAAGGCAACGAUGCGUAGCCGACCUGAGAGGGUGAUCGGCCACACUGGAACUGAGACACGGUCCAGACUCCUACGGGAGGCAGCAGUAGGGAAUCUUCCGCAAUGGGCGAAAGCCUGACGGAGCAACGCCGCGUGAGUGAUGAAGGUCUUCGGAUCGUAAAACUCUGUUAUUAGGGAAGAACAUAUGUGUAAGUAACUAUGCACAUCUUGACGGUACCUAAUCAGAAAGCCACGGCUAACUACGUG